CCUCGCGGUCGAAAUAUUCCAACGUGUCGUGACUGACACAAACACAAACAAAAUGUAAAAAUACUGUCACCUUAUGAGGACGUCGAGCCUUGAAACAGCCACGAAAACAGUGCAGCGAAAAUAUUGGUAAAGCGGAAGUACGUUGGACUCAGCAGCAACAGCAGAAUCGUAUACAGAACUUCUUGAAGGUGGCACCCAUCCUCAAAAUACAAGACUAGAAGAUGGAGAAAAAAAGUUCACAAGACGACUUUUAAAAAGCACAUCUGCCUCUCCAAGAGACUAAAGCUGUCAUUACUGGAGGAGGUGUCUGUGAGUAUAUGUGUACCUGACAAACAGACACUGUUCUGUUCCACUGCACCAUCUUCUCCGGCUGCAAAAUGACCUCCUGAUACACCAGCUCUGCGGUGCACUGCAAGAGUGCCUAAAACACCCAAAACACAGAUUAAACCCCAAAGACCAUGUGAAAAGAGAGCAGAGAGAGAAAUGAAAUAGACCACUGAGGAACUGAGAGUGAAAACAAAAGCGUGUGAGCUGGAACAAAAAUGAGCUGGAGGGUAUCAGUCGGCAGGACAAGGUCAGCUGAUCUUAAUUAGACUUCAUUAAGCUGGAUUACACCAGCUAAAGCUAUAGAGCAUCUCUUGGAUGAGAACCAGUACCAUUUACAAAUGAAUGGAUGCAUCUUAUAAAAUGUCAAGAAAAUGCUCGUCAUAUUUCACUCCAAAAAUCAACAGAAAGAAAUGCAUUAAUUUGCAUGAAGACUAUUUUUUCGAGAUUUAUUUUAUUUGACAUCCACAUAAUAAAUUCAAAUAAAUUGAAUUUAGAUCUAAAUAAAUUAAAUUAAGCACAUUUUCCACCUCUCAUAUCCAUAAAGAGUGUAGAUGUUAUUUUUGUAUUAUUAUUUUUUUUUUGGAAUUUCCUUAGAUUUUUCCCAAUGAUGCACAUUCUGUCUUAAAUUCUGUAUUUUUAUUUUUUUAAAUGAACAAACUUUAGGCUACCAUGCUGUAUAAAAAUACAUUAUAAUUUUAAUUACAUUUUUUAUAAAUUAAUUCUUGAUACUGUAAUGCUAUAUCAUUUUAAUAUUUUACAUUACAAUAAUGAAAUAUAUAUGAAUUAUAUUAAUUUUACUACUGUAAUGCAGAUAUAAAAUAUAUAUAUUAUGCAUUACAAUAAUGAAAAAUUACAUA